AUUGUCCUUAGAGUGUGUGUAGGGUAGUGUCAGUGUGCGGGGAUCGCUGGUCGGCGCGGACACGGUGGGCCGAAGGGCCUGUUUCCGCGCUGUAUCUCUAAACUAAACUAAAGUGCAUUUCCACCAGUACUUGGUACCCGAGUGGUCCUGAAAUCCAUUGACGUCAAAGACCAAUGAAGAACUGUCUCCAGACCCCAUAGCACAGGCACCUAAUGUACUUAGCACCUACGCAGGUGUGGGAGGAAGCCGGAGCACCUGGGGGAAACCCACACGGUCAAAGGAGAACGUGCAAACUCCACACAGACAGACAGCGCCCGAGAUCACAAUCACAAUAAUACUUUAUUAGCCAAGUAUGUUUUUGCAACAUACGAGGAAUUUCAUUUGCCAAGUCAGUCAGACAAAUAAAAAGCAACAGAACACACAAAACACAUUUUAAUAUAAACAUCCACCACAGUGACCCCUCCACAUUCCUCACUGUGGUGGAAGGGGGAAAAAAGUUCAAUGUCUUCCCUUCUUUGUUCUCCCGCGGUCAUGGGCCUCGAGCCCUCUGUUGACGGGACGGUCUUGACUCCCGUGGCUCUCAGUGUAAUGUUCGCAGGCUGCAGGUUUGAGCGUCGAUCCCAGGCAAGGGAUCAACUCCGAUGUUAAGUCCAAGCUCCCCAGAGGGGCUCAAGGUCAGUCUGAGGAGGUUAGGAACUGAGAGAAAAGUUUACCCCGACCCCCUCACCUCACAUAAAACAAACCGGAGAACAUUUACACAGAUUUUUAACACACACUAAAAAACUUAAAAAAGACGAAAAAAGACAUUGUUGGCGGGGCUGCCUGUGGUAUUAUGCAAUAAUAGUGUAAGGCUGAGCAGAGGGGCACUAGGACCCUGUGUGCCAGAAGCCAGGCUCCAGUAACCGGAUGUGACUGGAACCCAGGGUGUGGGCAGUUAGGGAGUUGCCUGGGCUUACACACGAGGCUGUUGCUGUUGCUGCUGUUGUACAGAUUAAAGAUAUACUCUGUUUA